UCAAAUUUUCUCUGAGUAAAGGAUACAUCGUCAAGGAUAUAUUCAAACGGUUGCUUUAUAGUUGCUGAACAUUAAACACGUGAACACAAAAAUCGCAAACAUAAAACAUUGACGUUAUAAAGUAUUUUGGUUGCUACUACAAAAGUGAAAUGUAAAGUUUGAAAGAACUUUAUCAUGCAUUGUAAAAUCUCCUCUUUUUUGGUGAUUACCAUAUGGUUAAUUAUAUAAUUCAUGGUGUUAUACGGUAUUUAUAUUUAUAUAGUA